CCUACGGGAGGCAGCAGUGGGGAAUCUUGCACAAUGGAGGAAACUCUGAUGCAGCGAUGCCGCGUGAGUGAAGAAGGCCUUUGGGUUGUAAAGCUCUUUUGUAGGGGAAGAUAAUGACUGUACCCUAAGAAUAAGGUCCGGCUAACUUCGUGCCAGCAGCCGCGGUAAUACGAAGGGACCUAGCGUAGUUCGGAAUUACUGGGCGUAAAGCGCGCGUAGGCCGUUGAGUUAGUUAAUUGUGAAAUCCCAAAGCUUAACUUUGGAACUGCAAUUAAAACUGCUCGACUAGAGUUUGGUAGAGGAAAGCGGAAUACAUAGUGUAGAGGUGAAAUUCGUAGAUAUUAUGUAGAACACCAGUUGCGAAGGCGGCUUUCUGGAUCAACACUGACGCUGAGGCGCGAAAGUAUGGGUAGCAAAGAGGAUUAGAUACCCUCGUAGUCCAUACCAUAAACGAUGAUUGCUAGAUGUUGGAAAUUUAUUUUCAGUAUCGCAGCUAACGCAUUAAGCAAUCCGCCUGGGGAGUACGACCGCAAGGUUAAAACUUAAAGGAAAUUGACGG
rnacentral:rRNA from 1 species